rnacentral:rRNA from 1 species
UGGGGAAUUUUGCACAAUGGGGGAAACCCUGAUGCAGCGACGCCGCGUGAUUUAGAAGGCCUUCGGGUUGUAAAAAUCUUUUCUAUGGGAAGAAAAUGACAGUACCAUAGGAAUAAGGACCGGCUAAUUACGUGCCAGCAGCCGCGGUAAUACGUAAGGUCCGAGCGUUGUCCGGAAUCAUUGGGCGUAAAGGGUACGUAGGCGGGUAAGCAAGUUAGAAGUGAAAUCCUAUAGCUCAACUAUAGUAAGCUUUUAAAACUGCUCAUCUUGAGGUAUGGAAGGGAAAGUGGAAUUCCUAGUGUAGCGGUGAAAUGCGCAGAUAUUAGGAGGAAUACCGGUGGCGAAGGCGACUUUCUGGCCAUAACCUGACGCUGAGGUACGAAAGCGUGGGUAGCAUACAGG